AUGUGGAACCUCCUCAAUCAACAACUUGUUAAGCUCUCACCAUCAUCAUCACUGAAUGGAGGACCAAGUACAGGCGGGAAAUCAACACACAGGACAGCAUUGCCAAGUCAAAAGCAGUGGAUCCACUUCUCAACUUUGAACCCACUGAUGAUUUUAAAUCUCAGGCUGGACGGAUUCAGCUCACUCACCCAGAUAAAUGCCGUCCAUAUGAGCACAUUUCUUCUUGGUUAUGUUGAAGUCUACAUAGAACAGAGCCACCGGGUGUCCGAAGCUCUCGCCGGGACUGGGGUCCAGCAGCAGCACGGCGUCGUGCGUGCUCGCGCCCGGGUACAGCUCUUCGUUCGUCCUGCUGUCAUCAUCCGCGCUCGCGUCCACAGUGAAGCCGCUCUGCUUGGACUGCAGCGCACCGCUCGAGUAUGAGUCCGGCAGGAUCGUCAGCACUUUCCCCGAGCCGGACUCGGUCACGUACACGACCACCCCGCUCAGGUGCAGUUGGGACAGCUUCUUGCACUCGCUCUCCGGUAAGGAGACCCUCCGGCACAGGUUGAGCUGCAGGUACUGAAGUCCAGUUCGGACCCAGCGGUCCAGACGAGACCCGCAGCACUCGCCAACGAGUAAAGCACAAAUGAGAAGAGAAACGCACUGGAGCUUCAUGCUUUGGCUGUAUUUUCGGAAAAGUUACUUUUAAAACAGCUUUGUUCCGCUGGAGGUGUGUGUUGGACAGUCGCGGGUCUUGUGAAGUUUGGAGAGAUGCGACUGUCUUCAUUAAAGGUGCUCAGAGCAGCAUCCAGAUGGAAAGUUAAUGUGCUGUAACUCCAUCCCACAGGCUCUGACAUGCUGCUGAACAGAUGAAGGAGGGAGGAGGGAGAGAGAGGGAGGGUGGAGCUGCCUUUCAGGUAAUUCAUUCCCAUUAACAAAAAGAUUCUUUGACUUUUCCUAAAAUUAUGAUAUAGCCUACUCUAAAUGAAAACAACUUGUAGUAGGCUAUGUUUGAAAGUCAGUAGCUGUAAACUGCUGCCAGAUCAUUUGCAUCUGUCUGGAUCUGAAUACAAUUUUUUUUUUUUUUUUUUUUGUCUGGGGCAAAGUGCCUCCAAAGCACAACACAAUGUUGCAGGGCAUUCUGUAGUUUUAUAAAGUGAUUUAAUCAUUUUAAAUAUUUCAUCAACUCUUUAUCGUUUUUAACAUUAUCAUAAAUAACGUGGUAAUAAUUUGCAUUUAUUAAACUUAUGAAUUGCGUUUACUGUGUAAUAAAUAAUAAAUGAAUUUAGAACAUGUCAAAUGUCUUAAAGAAAAAGUGUAGGCAGUUUACUUGAAUUUGAUAUUACAAGCCUUGUGCACAAGGUUAUGAAAUUAUAAGUGUUUCUUAGAAAAUUAAAGUUUUCUAGAGAAUUUGGUAUUUCUAUAUACACAUUUCAUUUAUCAGCUUAACAUAGAUAUAAUUUAACAUUAUUUAUGACUGUUUGUAAGUUAAUGAUAAUGGUAUAAAAACUUCCUAAAAGGAUGAUGAUGAUGACCAUAAGAAAAAGUAUUUGAUGGAAUACUUAAAUACCUUAGCAAGAAAAUAUAUGAUGGUAACAGAGAGGAAG
ensembl:lncRNA